UCUGAACUAAUUGGGUUUCCAAAGGCCGUGGGCCGUUACACCCAAAAUAGAUGGCGCGACGCGCGGGAGAUCUAGGUCUUCGAUUCCCAAGAAUCGAUAUAAAAGGCGCGGGAGAGGGAAAGAGAGAUGGAACCGGAAAGCGAUAUGGGAGAGACGACGGAGGGCUUGGGAGGAGGAGCGGAAGCUGCGCUUAGCCUGACUGUGGGCUCCUCGAUAUCCAUACACUACCACUCUCUUUUCGGAUCUCAUGACGAUGUGCUUCUUCUCGAGGUCGAUGAGAAGCUCGUCCCCGAUGUCGCCCUGCACUGGGGUGACCAUUUGAUGACAGCCUGAUGAGGGAGCUAUGCUGUGCACUCCAACCUAUGUGAUGAAGUAUGUAGGCACAUCCAACUCUGUAUUAUUGAUAACCCCAGGAGAGCCAACUCCUUCGAGUUCGUAUUAUGCAGGCAACUGGUAGUGAGACAAACAACAUAGCAGUCCUUGGUGCAGUGGUAUCUGUCAUCAAAGUGGCACCAGGGAAUAUCCCAGGCUUGAGAAAAUGAAAUUCCUCUUUAACGGGAGGAAUUACAGACUUGAGGAAGAUUCUGAAAAUGAAUGGCCAUUAGAUGCACUUUCAGAAAAUGAAGUAUUCUUAGAAGCUGACGAGUUCCCUCACAGAAUUGCUCUCCGCUGACUUGAAAAAUUUGGAAGCAAGAUGGAGAAUUAAGGAAGCAAUUUGUGGAGUUUGGAUGAGAAGCGGGUCUGUGUCUUUUGCUGAACGAAUUUUGGAUGGUGGAAAGAUGAAUUUGGAGAUUUUCGUGGAAAAGUGGAUGCAAAGUGUUCCUUCAGGAAUAAAUGCAGACUUAAAAAUGCUUGAGGGUGAAGUGUUGUAUGAAAAGCUUGGUGUCAAAAACUGGAUCCAUGCUUUCAGUGUCUCCGAUGUUCCAUCAACUCCAGCUGAGCAUGUUGCAGCACUGUUUUGAGAGCGGCCAAAGUGGGAAUGGAAAAAUUUAGAGCCCUAUAUCAGGGACUUGUGUGUGCCGACUCUCUCUUCAGAAGGUUUGCUUAUCAAGUAUACUGGAGGAAUGUGACGAAGUGCAGAUACUGAACCUAUUUCCACUGCAAGAUAGUCUUAAGCGAUUAUGUGUACCUGUUUUCAGCUUCUCUGAGUCUCUCUUCAGUAGGUUUGCUUAUCAAGUGUACUGGAAGAAUGCGACCAAGUGCAGAUAUUGAACCUAUUUUCACUGCAAGAUAGUCUUAAGUGAUUAUGUGCACAUGUUUUCAGCUUCUUUUGCCCCAGGUAACGAGUCUAUUUUCAGCUUCUCUUAUCAGCUGUUUUGACUUUUGUUGUGAGAUUUUAUUGUUAUGGUAACAUUUCUCUAUUUGCUUAUGUUACUGCUGGCAGAACAACUUAUUAUUCUCUUUGAAAAUGGAGAUUUGAUUUUGGAAAAUCAAUAUAAUAUGAUGAACAACAAAAGGUCAAGCAAUGGCUAUUUUUCUUGACAUGCAGCACCAGCCAUUGUAAUGCAACAGCAAACUCCAACAAGAUGUCUGGCCAAUUGGGCAUUUUUCUUUCAUUUUUUGCUCAAUAUGUGAAAAAGAAAUCCAAAGGAAAAGAGAAGAAGUUGGGAGAGUGAAGUUUGGGUGUAAUGGAGUCAGAGCUUUUGAACAAGUCUAGAUUUAAUCGUGCUCGGUUUGAAAUUAUUCUCGAACCUGAGUUUUGAGAUAAAGCUUAAUUUAUUCAUUAUUUAA